rnacentral:lncRNA from 1 species
AAUUUCCAUAGAUUAUUGAACAGGAAACAUAGAGCGCAUACGUCGACAACAAAGAUCUUUUAAAAUAAUGUUUGUGCAGACAUUUCACAUGUCUUAUUUGAAUAUUAAGCUUGUCGACGCCUGCGCUCUAUGUUUCCUGGUCCUUUAUUUGGUUGAAAUCCAGCUGAUUUUGUCAAAUUUCACAAAAAUCCCUUAUCUUGACCUUUUUGUGAUGUAAAAAUCAACGUGUUAGAAUUAAACUUUGACAAAAACAGUUCUGUUUAACUUUCUCACAUGUCUUUAAAGCAACUUAAAACAUUUAUUGUCUUGUAACUAUGAACUUUAUAAUUGGGGCCAAAUAUGGCCCUUACCGAACUUACUCCUUUAUGUGACGUAUAAAAUUUUCUGACGUCAGACACUCAAAUCAAUAAAUGUGUUCGUAGAUAGUAGAUGUUUUUGUGUUCUGUUAAAUUGUUCCUUUUAAAAUUGUUAAACGAUGAUGACUGAUGUACCCAUAUUUUGACUAUUAUAUUUAUUGUGUCUGUUUAUUUAACGCAUCAAUGUAAAAAUAUCGGAAAUUGAUGAGACUGUCAUUAAAGUGAGAGGG